GCUAGUACGUAAAAACAGCUGCAACUCGAUUCACGUGUGUACGUUUUGUGCUCCCCUUUUGGAUGCCAUCUUGUAAUCUCUUCUGUUGAAUCGUAAUCCUUUCAGUUCUGCUCACGUGUUGGCCGAGAGACAAAAGGAAACAUUUCACUCCCAUUCGGAUGCAAGCAGAUCGAGAUAAUCAAGAUACGGGCGUAUGUGUUCCUGGCCACACACCUACACACAGAAGACUUGGUUCGAUGAAGCAGAAUGAAAAAAAAAGACCUCUGGAAUGCUACUGCUGCUGCAAGUGUCAUGUUCUUCAUCAUCGUUGUUAUUAGAUAGCGGGAAAUGGUAACGCAUUGAGUCAACGAUACGUAGGAUAUUUGAUGACGAAUGAUGCGCAACAUCAUCGAUGCUGCACAGCAUUGGUUUUGUCUCGUUUAAUGUUUUUCUGCUGAAUUUUGAAUCAUGUCUGGACAAGUGCGUUGGUCAAAAAUGCAUCACGAAAGACAAUA